AGAGUUUGAUCCUGGCUCAGAAUGAACGUUGGCGGCGUGGAUUAGGCAUGCAAGUCGUACGGUAAGCUUCGGCUUAUAGUGGCGAAAGGGAGAGUAACGCGUGGUUACAUGCCCUCGGGACCGGGAUAGCGGCGGGAAACUGCCGGUAAUACCGGAUAAUAUCUUUGGAUCAAAGGUGUGAUUCCGCCCGAGGAUUGGACCGCGUUCUAUUAGCUUGUUGGCGGGGUAAUGGCCCACCAAGGCGACGAUGGAUACCGGGUGUGAGAGCAUGGCCCGGCUCACUGGGACUGAGACACUGCCCAGACACCUACGGGUGGCUGCAGUCGAGAAUCUUCGGCAAUGGGGGCAACCCUGACCGAGCGACGCCGCGUGCGGGACGAAGGCCUUCGGGUUGUAAACCGCUGUCAGUUGGGAGGAAGUGCCGGGGGGUUCUCCCCUCGGUUUGACCGAUCUUCAGAGGAAGGACGGGCUAAGUUCGUGCCAGCAGCCGCGGUAAGACGAACCGUCCAAACGUUAUUCGGUAUCACUGGGCUUAAAGCGUGCGUAGGCGGCCUGGUAGGUGAGGUGUGAAAGCCCACGGCUCAACCGUGGAAUUGCGCUUCAAACCACCAGGCUGGAGGAUGGCAGGGGUGAUGGGAACUGAUGGUGGAGCGGUGAAAUGCGUUGAUAUCAUCAGGAACACCGGUGGCGAAGGCGCAUCACUGGGCCAUUUCUGACGCUGAGGCACGAAAGCUAGGGUAGCGAACGGGAUUAGAUACCCCGGUAGUCCUAGCUGUAAACGAUGAGCACUGGGUUGAGGGGACCUCCACAUCUUCUCGGCCGUAGCGAAAGCGUUAAGUGCUCCGCCUGGGGAGUAUGGCCGCAAGGCUGAAACUCAAAGGAAUUGACGGGGGCUCACACAAGCGGUGGAGGAUGUGGCUUAAUUCGAGGCUACGCGAAGAACCUUAUCCUAGACUUGACAUGCUUAAGAAUCUUCUGG
rnacentral:rRNA from 1 species